rnacentral:lncRNA from 1 species
AUUUUGCUUGCCACAUUGUACCUCUCCAUCAAUCAAAAAACUUCUGUAGUUUCUCUAAACAUCCAUACUAAUGCAACAAAUAAUAAAACAAAGACCUCCACCAAUAUAACCUCACAUCCUCUUCUACACUCCAUGUUCUUUGCUAUAGCCAAUACUAGUUAUUUUUAAUGCUCCCAAUUUGCAAUUACCUCCCAAUCAUGAGCAAACUCUAGAAAGAAAGCCCUCCACUAUCAUCUACCUUGACUCAACAAUGUCUAUCACAAAUGGACCAACAUUGUUUGUUUUCAAAUGGCCCAUAAUGACUACAACUCAUCGCCUCAUCCACAUUUCUCUCCUCUUAUCUAUCCUCAAAUAUUCACCCAAUAUGUGAUGCCUUCCUUGCUUCUCAAUAUCCUCUUCUUGUUGCCUACCAACGUGCCCAAUUAUACCUCUUGCACAUGCUUAUUACGAACUACCAAAUUGUUGUUGGUUUUGGUCCCAUAGAUGGUUACAACAAGGGCAAAAAAUGACAACUAUGAUGAUGUUCACCCCGCCUAGUGUGCUUAGGCCACCUAAAACCCCAGCUAAUCUUUGUCUUUU